AAUCAACGCUGGCGGCGUGCCUCAGACAUGCAAGUCGAACGAUUAAGACUCCCUUCGGGGAGUGCAUAAAGUGGCGCACGGGUGAGUAACACGUAAGUAAUCUACCUUCGAGUGGGGAAUAACGUUCGGAAACGAACGCUAAUACCGCAUAAUGCAGCGGCAUCUAUGAUGACAGUUGUUAAAGAAUUUAUUCGCUUGAAGAGGAGCUUGCGGCAGAUUAGCUAGUUGGUAAGGUCACGGCUUACCAAGGCGACGAUCUGUAUCCGGUCUAAGAGGACGGUCGGACACACUGACACUGAAUAACGGGUCAGACUCCUACGGGAGGCAGCAGUCGGGAAUUUUGGGCAAUGGGCGAAAGCCUGACCCAGCAACGCCGCGUGAAGGAUGAAGUUUUUCGGAAUGUAAACUUCGUAAGAAUAGGAAGAAUAAAUGACGGUACUAUUUGUAAGGUCCGGCUAACUACGUGCCAGCAGCCGCAGUAACAC
rnacentral:rRNA from 1 species